AUUGAACGCUGGCGGCAUGCCUUACACAUGCAAGUCGAACGGCAGCACGGGAGCAAUCCUGGUGGCGAGUGGCGAACGGGUGAGCAAUAUAUCGGAACGUGCCCAAUCGUGGGGGAUAACGUAGCGAAAGUUACGCUAAUACCGCAUACGAUCUACGGAUGAAAGCGGGGGAUCGCAAGACCCCGCGCGGUUGGAGCGGCCGAUAUCAGAUUAGGUUGUUGGUGGGGUAAAAGCCUACCAAGCCGAUGAUCUGUAGCUGGUCUGAGAGGACGACCAGCCACACUGGGACUGAGACACGGCCCAGACUCCUACGGGAGGCAGCAGUGGGGAAUUUUGGACAAUGGGCGCAAGCCUGAUCCAGCAAUGCCGCGUGCAGGACGAAGGCCUUCGGGUUGUAAACUGCUUUUGUACGGAACGAAACAGCUCUUUCUAAUACAAGGGGCUAAUGACGGUACCGUAAGAAUAAGCACCGGCUAACUACGUGCCAGCCGCCGCAGUAACAC
rnacentral:rRNA from 1 species